rnacentral:rRNA from 1 species
UACGGAGGGGGCGAGCGUUGUUCGGAGUGACUGGGCGUAAAGAGCACGUAGGCGGUGUUGUAAGUCAUUAGUCAAAGACUAGAGCUCAACUUUAGUAAGGCUAGUGAUACUAUAAUACUAGAGUAUCAGAGAGGAUUGCAGAAUUCCUGGUGUAGCGGUGAAAUGCGUAGAUAUCAGGAGGAACAUCGGUGGCGAAAGCGCUUUACUGGACCAUUAUUGACGCUGAGGAACGAAAGCCAGGGGAGCAAAUGGG